UACGAAGGGGGCUAGCGUUGCUCGGAAUUACUGGGCGUAAAGCGCACGUAGGCGGUCUUUUAAGUCGGGGGUGAAAUCCUGGAGCUCAACUCCAGAACUGCCUUCGAUACUGGAAGACUCGAGUCCGGGAGAGGUGAGUGGAACUGCGAGUGUAGAGGUGAAAUUCGUAGAUAUUCGCAAGAACACCUGCGGCGAAGGCGGGUUGCUGGGCUGAUACUGACGCUGAGGCGCGGAAAGCUAGGGGAGCGAACGGG
rnacentral:rRNA from 1 species